AAAUUGAAGAGUUUGAUCAUGGCUCAGAUUGAACGCUGGCGGCAGGCCUAACACAUGCAAGUCGAGCGGUAGCACAGAGAGCUUGCUCUCGGGUGACGAGCGGCGGACGGGUGAGUAAUGUCUGGGAAACUGCCUGAUGGAGAGGGAUAACUACUGGAAACGGUAGCUAAUACCGCAUAACGUCGCAAGACCAAAGUGGGGGACCUUCGGGCCUCAUGCCAUCAGAUGUGCCCAGAUGGGAUUAGCUAGUAGGUGGGGUAACGGCUCACCUAGGCGACGAUCCCUAGCUGGUCUGAGAGGAUGACCAGCCACACUGGAACUGAGACACGGUCCAGACUCCUACGGGAGGCAGCAGUGGGGAAUAUUGCACAAUGGGCGCAAGCCUGAUGCAGCCAUGCCGCGUGUGUGAAGAAGGCCUUCGGGUUGUAAAGCACUUUCAGCGGGGAGGAAGGCGGUGAGGUUAAUAACCUCAUCGAUUGACGUUACCCGCAGAAGAAGCACCGGCUAACUCCGUGCCAGCAGCCGCGGUAAUACGGAGGGUGCAAGCGUUAAUCGGAAUUACUGGGCGUAAAGCGCACGCAGGCGGUCUGUCAAGUCGGAUGUGAAAUCCCCGGGCUCAACCUGGGAACUGCAUUCGAAACUGGCAGGCUAGAGUCUUGUAGAGGGGGGUAGAAUUCCAGGUGUAGCGGUGAAAUGCGUAGAGAUCUGGAGGAAUACCGGUGGCGAAGGCGGCCCCCUGGACAAAGACUGACGCUCAGGUGCGAAAGCGUGGGGAGCAAACAGGAUUAGAUACCCUGGUAGUCCACGCCGUAAACGAUGUCGAUUUGGAGGUUGUGCCCUUGAGGCGUGGCUUCCGGAGCUAACGCGUUAAAUCGACCGCCUGGGGAGUACGGCCGCAAGGUUAAAACUCAAAUGAAUUGACGGGGGCCCGCACAAGCGGUGGAGCAUGUGGUUUAAUUCGAUGCAACGCGAAGAACCUUACCUGGUCUUGACAUCCACAGAACUUUCCAGAGAUGGAUUGGUGCCUUCGGGAACUGUGAGACAGGUGCUGCAUGGCUGUCGUCAGCUCGUGUUGUGAAAUGUUGGGUUAAGUCCCGCAACGAGCGCAACCCUUAUCCUUUGUUGCCAGCGGUCCGGCCGGGAACUCAAAGGAGACUGCCAGUGAUAAACUGGAGGAAGGUGGGGAUGACGUCAAGUCAUCAUGGCCCUUACGACCAGGGCUACACACGUGCUACAAUGGCAUAUACAAAGAGAAGCGACCUCGCGAGAGCAAGCGGACCUCAUAAAGUAUGUCGUAGUCCGGAUUGGAGUCUGCAACUCGACUCCAUGAAGUCGGAAUCGCUAGUAAUCGUAGAUCAGAAUGCUACGGUGAAUACGUUCCCGGGCCUUGUACACACCGCCCGUCACACCAUGGGAGUGGGUUGCAAAAGAAGUAGGUAGCUUAACCUUCGGGAGGGCGCUUACCACUUUGUGAUUCAUGACUGGGGUGAAGUCGUAACAAGGUAACCGUAGGGGAACCUGCGGUUGGAUCACCUCCUUACCUUAAAGAA
rnacentral:rRNA from 1 species